AUAGUACUCCCUCCGUCCGGAAAUACUUAUCAUCAAAAUGAACAAAAGAGGAUGUAUCUAGACAUAUUUUAGUUCUAGAUACAUCCAUUUUUAUCUAUUUUAAUGACAAAUAUUUUUGGGAGUAUAUA
rnacentral:pre_miRNA from 1 species